rnacentral:misc_RNA from 1 species
GUGACGUCACUAUCAGCAACCUCGAAGUGAGUAACAAGUCACAAGUAAGACUGUCAGCACUGUCUCACGAGACGAAAACAAGUCCAGUUUUCUGAUCUUUUUAGUCGUCAACAGAUAUCAAGAUGAAAUUCAAGUUUAAGGAAGAACACACAUUCGAACAAAGAAAAGCUGAGUCAACAAAGAUCAAAACAAAAUAUCCUGAAAGAAUUCCGGUGAUAGUGGAGAGGGACCCCAAGAGCCAAAUACAGAACAUCGACAAGAGAAAGUUCCUUGUUCCCAAUGACAUCUCAGUGGCUCAGUUCAUGUGGAUUAUACGCAAACGUAUUCAACUUCCAUCGGAAAAAGCCAUCUUUCUUUUCGUAGGGAAAAUACUGCCUCAGUCAAGUGCAAGCAUGGGCCAGGUUUAUGAAGAUCAUAAGGACGAAGAUGGAUUUUUGUACAUAGCUUACAGUGGAGAAAACACCUUUGGCUUGUAGCCGUGUCAGCAACCGGACCGAUAUGUUUCAUUGUUUGCCUUCAUGCUUGAAGAUUUGAGACAGGAAGCCAAGCCGAUGCUGAUAUCAUGUGCAAUGCAUUCAUGAUGGCAGAAAAAAAAUGUGAUAUCUUUGUUGAAAGUUAACAUGGUUAAAGUAUUUGUCUUAUUGUACUGUAGUAGUGUUGAUCAGUGAUUCAAUGUAUGUGUUUGCAUUCCGCCUCUAUUUGUAACCAUGGAUACCAAGCACAAGGAAUCCAACAUUCCCUGUUCAACAACAGACUCAACAAUGGCCUCAAAUUCUGUUUUAUCAUAUGUGGUCAGUUUUCAUUUUUUAUGGUUCUACAUAGCAUGGUUCAAAUGUUUGAAGCUCUUGUCUCUAAUAAGACUGGUUUUGCAUCCUGAAUUUUGUAAAAGGGAGGGAAUCAAAACCUGGCCUAUAUUUUAUCAUGAGUUCGGUAUCUGAAUGGGUUACUUUUUGAUGAAAAGAGUCCAUUCAUUUAGCUCAAGACCAAGCAUCCCAAUUUCCAGUACUUACUGAAACUAGUAUUAUCAUGUGAGAGUUAUAGUAUUAAAGGAUUGUUUUAAUAUGUUGUUUUAUGGAACUGUAUAUAUCUUUGUACAGGAAGUAGACGAUUUUCUUCCGUUUGUAAACAUAUCUAUUCCACAUACAUUUCAAGUAUUGAUAUAAUUAACCAGUAUCAUCAAUGUAUAAGCCGUGUUAUAGCAACUAUAACAAUUAUUAUCAUGCACUUUAUAUGCUUGAAUACAUGAAUACAAUAUUCAGGGCUCAAUGCUUGCAUACAGUGUUAUUAAGCUCAACCACAGUAGAGGUAUUAGCUUUGAUAGGUGAUUUAGUGACAUAUAGCAUGGGAUUUGAACUUGCUCAUUUUGAAAGGGAGUUAACUGUAAUUGUCUUCCUGUAGCGUGGGAAAUUUGUUUCAAACUUUGGAAAUUGUUUUUCUGGUGUUGUUUCAGUUUAUGCUAUGUAAGUAUUAGAUUUGAAUUUGAAAAUAAAAGUUGUUCAUGGUUUGAGAUCAAGUUAGAUAUUCCAUAGUUGAUCUUGCACAAAAAAUAAUUUCGAUUCAUUCCAGUCAGUUUGGAGAAUCAUCUGACACCUUCCACUGUGAUGGCUUGUAUGGAUGUAGGCAAUUUUGCACAUUAGAAAUUAACUUCAAGAAUUGUUCAUUUGAUAAAUUGUCGGAAUGAUUUAAUAAAAAGUAGCCCUGAUACUAGGAAAUCUUGACUUACCAAACAAUAGAGAUUUGCAUAGGGUUUUUAUGCUUUUUAUGCAGUAUUGUGUCAAAGUUGUUAUGAGAGAUUGCUGUGGAUACAGGUGUUUCUCAAGACUUCUUGGACCCAAGUUGACAUGAAAUCCCAAACUGGAGUGAGAAUUUUCCCAGUUAACAUUAUUAUAAUUAUAUCUGAUAAUUGGUUUGGUCAAACUGAUUUCUAAUAGAUGAAGGAACUAUCAUGCUUAGUUUUUCAUUACUGAAUCUGAUGAUAUUAUAAAUGUUAAAAGAUCUAUGAUUUGAAGUUAAAAGGAACUAACAAAUACUUUUCCCAAUUUUCUGUCAAGAGCUUGUAGGGGGCCGUUCAUAAUUUAUGUACAUAAAAAUAUUUAAACAAUACACUUUAAAAAUAUGGAAAGGGGGAGGGGGGUCAUUGACUUUGUACAUGACAUGCAGGGGGGUCACUUACUUUGUACAUACAUUUUGGGGGGGUCACUUACUUUGUACAUACAUUUUGGGGGGGUCAUUCACAUACACGCACACACACACACACACACGCCAUAAAUUAUGAACGGUCCCUAGUUUGGAUGCUUAGACAAAUCAGGGACCUUAAUGUGUUAUUCCUUGAACGUUAAUGUGUUACUCCUUGGACAUGCAUCUUCACUCUAUGUUUGCUACAGUGUCAGAGUUUGCUUGUCUAGUCAGAAGAGCUUUGUCAGUGGAACAACAUACAGCUUCCAGGAACAUUUUGGGAUGCAAGAUUAGCUGAUCUUGCUAACUUCAAAGAGAUGGUGACAUUAGUUUCUGUCUCCCUGUAGUUGGUAGUCCCAGCACCAUGUGACCUUUGUUAGGUUUAUCUUUAAGACAGGGCUUUUACUCGGACACUGGUAAUGGUUAGUGUGUUCUGCCAACAUUGUGUGUUUGAUCAUCCAGGUUAGCAAGUCUGUUUAGGGGAACAGGUCUGAACAUGUCUAAUGAACAGGUGGUGUUUGGUGAUGUUGUGAACAACCUCUGCCCACUUCCUGUGUAUGUUUUACUGUGUAGUUGUGGUGUUAUUACAGUUUUUGCUGGUAAUCUUCACUAGUCCAUAUUUGAUUCAGGAGGCUUUGCUUGCCCAUAUACUGGAGACAGUGGCUGUCAUCAGUGCUCAUCACUACCCUCAGGGUGUUGCCCAGCCAACAGUGGUACAACAUCAUAUAAGGGAUGUCAUGUAUAUUUCUCUGUCUCAACUAAACCCAUCUCUGCAAUCCAGUGUAUGCCAGUUUGGACUUAUCAGACAAAAGCCACAAUCAUAAUAUAAUAAAACUGUUUUUCUUUCUUUUUUUUAGUAUAAUAAACUGUUAAAUUAUUUAUUUAUUUGCCUGACGUCUCCAUCUUUAGUGUAUUAGAAAUAGACUUCCAUGAAGGAAACUCAAACAAAAGUGACUUACUUAACCCUAGAGAUACUAUCUGGUCAAAGGCAUUGUACGCAAUCUCUUGCCACUGCAAAUAUCCUGUCAACAAAAUAAAAUCUUGAAAAAUAUAACGAUUGAAUAUAAAUACGAAACAUCAGCAUCCUUGACGGCAUUGGCACCCAUGUAGUACUGGUGUGAUUGACCCAAACAAUUUUGCAACAAAUAACAUAUAUAAAUAUUGUGCAUAAAAAAGUAUAUUUUCAUGUUGUACUUGGAACUAUACAACCUAAUUAGCAUGCAGCAAUUGACACCCGAAAACUCUGUUGCCAAGAUACCUGUUCAAAUCGUAUACCAGGUAACAUCAUUGUGUGAACCAGUUAUAUAAUAAAUAUACAAAUACCCAUCAGGUUAAGAUAAACCAGUUUCGACCUGGGCCCACCGGUAUAUUGGCAUCUUUGAGUUGCCCCUUCCCACAAGCUGCAGCGUUAAACAGCUCCUCAAGGAGCCAAGAUUUGCUUGUGCAAGUUGACUGUUCAGUUGUGGUUCUUCCUCUAUGGCCGUCAGACAACAAGGUCCCUGUUGUGGUAUACAUGUAUCCAAGGCCCACUGUGUUUGAAUUCUGUAUGCAUAUUUGAACAGCGCCUGUGGUAUGUAUGUAACACUGAUUGUUCAAAAGUAACCCCGGAGGUUGUGAUGUAAGGUUCCCGUGCACGUCAUCUUACUAAAGUUGCCAAAAAUGUCCUACCACCUUUGGUUGAUAGAGCCAUUUUUACCUCACAAUCUGCUUGACGCCAUUUCCUGGCAGGCUUGGAAGAAUUUCAAAACCAAAGUGACCAUGUUUUAGUCUUUCACCUGUGUCCAUCCCUGGACUGUUGUUUGAAGGUUGGUGUAAGAGUGGGGGCGCUUGUCAGGUCACCUGCCUUGUGUCAGAAGUACUCAUGCUUGUGAAUAAAAUAUCUUCUAACUUA